rnacentral:rRNA from 1 species
UACGAAGGGGGCUAGCGUUGUUCGGAAUCACUGGGCGUAAAGCGCACGCAGGCGGAUUGAUAAGUCAGGGGUGAAAUCCCGGAGCUCAACUUCGGAAUUGCCUUUGAUACUGUCAAUCUCGAGUCCGGGAGAGGUGAGUGGAAUUCCUAGUGUAGAGGUGAAAUUCGUAGAUAUCAGGAGGAACACCGGUGGCGAAGGCGGCUUGCUGGGCCAGUUCUGACGCUGAGGAGCGAAAGCGUGGGGAGCGAACAGG